UACGGAGGGUGCAAGCGUUAUCCGGAAUCAUUGGGUUUAAAGGGUCCGCAGGCGGAAGUAUAAGUCAGUGGUGAAAGCCUACAGCUCAACUGUAGAACUGCCAUUGAUACUGUAUUUCUUGAAUUUGGUCGAAGUGGGCGGAAUAUGACAUGUAGCGGUGAAAUGCUUAGAUAUGUCAUAGAACACCGAUAGCGAAGGCAGCUCACUAGUCCAGUAUUGACGCUCAUGGACGAAAGCGUGGGGAGCAAACAGG
rnacentral:rRNA from 1 species